ensembl:lncRNA
CUGUUUUAAUUUUCUUUUUUUUUUUUUUUUUUUUUUUGUUUUUUUUGCUUUUUUUUUUGGGCCGUUCCUGCGACAUAUAGAGGAAAAAAAAAAAAAAAAAAAAAAAAAAAAAAAAAAAGGAUGAAGUGAAUAUUGUAGAGGACAAAAGAGAUUUUACUUCUUCCCUUCCUGGACCCCGUUCUUGCCUCUCUCCAUCUUGUUUCCUUCUUCUUCUGCUCCCUGUCCCGGGCACCCCCUGGGAGUGGCCAUGGCACCCUCCUCCCCCCAGAGGCUCAGAGCAUCUCCACUUCGCUCCCCCCCGGGGGCCAUUUGGACUCUUCCCAUUCCAGCUGGUCCCAGAGGGACCGACAGUACAGACCAUCCUACAAGGGGUUGGGGAGCAGAGGGAGGGGCCAGCCCUGGGCCGUACCAGGGGACUUCUGUCCAGCAGUGCCAGGUGAGGUCAACAAAUCUGUAAGAACUGAAUGAGUGUCUCUGGGACCCAGCACUGCCCCCAGCCAAGCCCCGGAGGCUAAGUGUGAGCUCUGGUCCUGGGGCCGUGUACCCAGGAGCCAUGUACCCAGGGGCCUUGUUCCCAGGAGUGGGCACAGAGGCCCUGGCAGGGAGGGAGCACCAGCACUAGCCCCCAGCACCCCGCCCCUCUGGAUGCUUCUGAGGCUCAAGUAAUUCAACUUGGGUCCGAGCCUCUCCCAGACGAGGGUAACCAGCAGACACCAGUUCUGAGGAGAUGUUUAGAAGGAGCCGUCUCCCCUUGUCCCAGGAGAUCAUGAGGCUGGAGGACAGAACGCUUAGGUUCCAGAACCUAAACAGGACGGCAGGAGAUGUGUGCUGGGAACCGGAUGUUUAGUUGGAGAUGACCUUUCCAGCAAGAGAGCACGCCCAGCUGAAUUUCCUCCCAUGGAAUCCCUGUUUCCCACAUACACUUGCUACCAGUGCUUCUGUGUUCAGCCCAUUGUCCUGUGUCCCAAAUUCUGGCAUCCCUCCAUCUGGUGGGUGGCUGGCUGAUGUCUAAAAUGAACCCUAUGGAGUUCCUGUUGUGGCGCAGUGGAAACGAAUCCCACUAGGAACCAUGAGGAUGCGGGUUCGAUCCCUGGCCUUGCUCAGUGGGUUAAGGAUCCGGCAUUGCUGUGAGCUAUGGUGUAGGUCACAGACACGGCUUGGAUCUGGCCUUGCUGUAGGCUGUGGUGUAGCUCUGAUUCGACCCCUAGCCUGGGAACCUCCAUAUGCCACGGGUGUGGCCCUAUAAAGACAAAAAAGACAAAACAACAACACCAACACCAACAAAAUGAGCCCUGUGUACCCAGAUGCUUACGCAGAGGUGGUGUGGUGUCAACAAAGAAUCCUGGGUCUUCUGAGGCAUCAUUUGUUCUCAUCCCUGCUUGGCCAUUUACAAAGCUGUGUGACUUCAUCUGGGUUGCUUGACCUCUCUGAUCUCAUCAUUCUCAUCGGGGAAAUGAGCACAAUAAUCAUGAUAAUGCCUAUCAGUCAUGAGACCUAAAAGCAUGCGAGAGCGCUCUGUCCACUUGCAAAGCCUGUACAUUUGUGAAUUUGCCUGGAAUAGGAGAACGCACCAGUGUGUCCCUGGCCCCGGGGCAGGAGGAAGCGAUAGGGAUAAAAGGGUCAGGAACUGGGCUGCCCUGGAGCCGAUUCCUCAGCUUUGGAUCAGGUGGGGCUGGGGCUGGUCAGGUGCACUGGGGAGACUCCACGGAGGGAAGGGUGGGGGCAGGGCUGGGGCUGGAGGAGGAGCCAGAGGAGGGCAAGGCUGGAAGCUGGGCGAGAUCCUGGGGGUCCCUAAGGUGGGGCUGUGGCCCCUGGAGCUCCCUCUUUUGCGCCCCUCUGCAGAGGCUGCCUCUCUUCUCUCAGGGCUUGACCACUCCCUCUCCAGAGGGGUGUUCUGAGAGCUAGGGAGGUGGCCGCAUGUGUGUCUGUGUGUGUGUGUCUUGCAACAGAGUGGUGGGUGGGAAACCGCCAGCUCCUGACUUGGCUGCUGUGGGGAGGGCACCGCUCCCUCCACCCUGGCUCUCCCAGCGCCCGUUAGGCUCUAUGUCAACCAGGCAGGAGGCUGGAAACACAGGGUGUGGGUACAAAGAGGUCUCAUUACUAUCGUUAUUACAAAUCAUUAUUCCC